rnacentral:rRNA from 1 species
GCCUGGAACGGUGGGUGGAUGAAAGCUCCGGGCGGCAUAGGAUGGGCUGCGGCGUAUCAGGUUGUAGGGGGUGUAAUGUGCCCUCUAGCCAUCUACGCGUACGGGUGUUGAGAGACAUCGCCCGGAGAUGGAUUCUGAGACACGAAUCCAGACCCUACGGGGUGCAGCAGGCGCGAAAACUUGGCAAUGCGAGCAAUCGUGACCAGGGAACUCCAAGUGCAUCGGGUAAGACCGAUGCUUUUCUUGACUCUUCAAAGGUCUUGGAAUAAGGGGUGGGUAAGGACGGUGCCAGCCGCCGCGGUAAUACCGGCGCCUCAAGUGGUAGUCGCUUUUAUUGGGCCUAAAACGUCCGUAGCCGGUUUGGUACAUUCGUGGGUAAACCAAGACGCUCAACGUCUUGAAUUCUGCGAGCACGGCCAGACUUGGGACCGGGUGAGGUGUGGGGUACUCUCAGGGUAGGGGUAAAAUCCUGUCAUCCUGAGAGGACCACCUGUUGCGAAGGCGCCACACUAGAACGGAUCCGACGGUCAGGGACGAAGCCUAGGGGCACGAACCGGAUUAGAUACCCGGGUAGUCCUAGGUGUAAACGCUGUGGACUUGAUGUUGGGAGUGCUCCGAGCGCCCUCAGUGUCGAAGCGAAGGUGAUAAGUCCACUGCCUGGGGAGUACGGUCGCAAGGCUGAAACUUAAAGGAAUUGGCGGGGGAGCACUGCAACCUGAGGAUUGUGCGGUUUAAUUGGAUUCAACGCCGGG